rnacentral:rRNA from 1 species
GGAGGUAGUGACAAUAAAUCACAAUGCGGAACAAUGUUUUGCAAUUGGAUUGAGAACAACGUACAAACCUUAUCGAUAAACAAUUGGAGGGCAAGUCUGGUGCCAGCAGCCGCGGUAAUUCCAGCUCCAAUAGCGUAUAUUAACGUUGUUGCAGUUAAAAAGCUCGUAGUUGAAAUGAAGGGUAGUUGUGUAAUGAAUACAUUCGUGUAUUUUGUUAUUCUACUACCCUCCUUCUAAAUUCGAUAUAUGAGUAUUAAUUUACUUGUAUAUGGUUUUAGACCUUUACUGUGAGAAAAUUAGAGUGUUCAAAGCAGGCAUUUGCUUGAAUAUAUUAGCAUGGAAUAAUCAUGUAUGAUUUUCAUGAUGUAUUUGAUUGGUUUGGUUCAUGAGAAUAAGAUUAAAAGGGACAGUUGGGGGUAUUCAUAUUCAAUAGUCAGAGGUGAAAUUCUCGGAUUUAUGGAAGAUGAACAAGUGCGAAAGCAUUUACCAAGGAUGUUUUCAUUAAUCAAGAACGAAAGU